CUAGUCGCACGAGUUCAGGCUCGUGGCGAAUAGCUCAGUAACACGUGGCCAAACUACCCUUCGGAACACAAUACCCUCGGGAAACUGAGGCUAAUAGUGUAUAUCGUACCACCACUGGAAUGAGUGGUACGCCAAACGCUCCGGCGCCGAAGGAUGUGGCUGCGGCCGAUUAGGUAGACGGUGGGGUAACGGCCCACCGUGCCAAUAAUCGGUAUGGGUCAUGAGAGUGAGAACCCAGAGACGGAAUCUGAGACAAGAUUCCGGGCCCUACGGGGCGCAGCAGGCGCGAAACCUUUACACUGCACGACAGUGCGAUAGGGGGAUCCCAAGUGCACAGGCAUAGCGCCUGUGCUUUUCGGCACCCUAAGGCGGUGCCAGAAUAAGGGCUGGGCAAGACCGGUGCCAGCCGCCGCGGUAAUACCGGCAGCCCAAGUGAUGGCCGAUCUUAUUGGGCCUAAAGCGUCCGUAGCUGGCCGCGCAAGUCCAUCGGGAAAUCCACCUGCUCAACAGGUGGGCGCCCGGUAGAAACUGCGUGGCUUGGGACCGGAAGGCGCGACGGGUACGUCCGGGGUAGGAGUGAAAUCCCGUAAUCCUGGACGGACCGCCGAUGGCGAAAGCAC
rnacentral:rRNA from 2 species